rnacentral:snoRNA from 1 species
CCGCACUGUUCGUAACCUGGUUCAGUCUCCAGUGUGAAUUUGGGUUCCAUUCCAGUGCCAUAGUGAACUCCAGUGAGGCAGGGGAGCAGUGCCUGUUUGUGCUGGCUCCCUGUUCACUCUCUGGGAACACUG